rnacentral:tRNA from 1 species
ACUCCCGUAGCUCAGCAGCAAAGUAUGCGGCCAUAUCGUAAGGUCGUGGGUGCGAGUCCCACCGGGAGUA